GCGCCCGGUGGUGUAGUCGUUGUAGCACGCGUCCUCGGUAUGGAUGAAACGCGGGUUCUAUUUCCGCCUGAGGUG